GUAAACCUGGAAAAGACAUGGUCUCGUGACCAGAGAGAGAUGGGAUCGGGAGUCGGUUACGCAAGGGGAAGGUAUUAGCACCCCUCACGUCCAUCGUACUCGACGGGAUCCAUGCUCAAAAGAAAAGAAGAAAGGUUGCUAAACACUGCUCAAAAGAAUGCACACACACACUAGAAACACACAGGUGGGAGAAGAGAGGAAAGAGCUCGCUAGGAUAUCGCAUCCUAUGCCUACGUAUCUCAUCU
rnacentral:lncRNA from 1 species